CUUGAUUUUAUUUCUCCUUUCCAUGCUGGCUUCAGGCCUGACAAGGGGAUGUGGAAGAAGGCAGAGGAGCUAUGUACCACAUAUUCUUAGCAUUGCUUUUCUUUCAGCCCUCACAUUAAUUCAUGUCUCUGUUGCUCUCAGCAGGUAGCUGAACUGGGGUCUCAAUGAGGCCUCCUCUGUACUGUCAGUAGAGACGCUGAGCCCCUGUGGAAGUACUUCAUGCAUUGUCAAGACCACAUAACAACAGUGUGCUGGGGCUGUCCAGGAUCUGGCUAGAAUGAAGCAUGCACUCUUCUGUUCCAGGUACCACAGCAACCUUUUCACAGGAAGAGAAAAGGUAUCUACCUUUACUUUUGCCCAAGGCAGAUGGAUCUGGGCCUUCUAGGAAGUAAGAAAUGCUCCCAGUUUCUGCAGCAGGACAUAGCUUUGGUUGGACUUACACCUUCCGAAGAAACCUCUCCAUGUGACUACGUGAGGAUCACAAGGAGACCUGUGCUUCACCAUAGCAGCUGCCUUCACCCUUGCCAGGACAAACUGAGGAAGAACAUACAGAAGAAUGUCUCUUCACUCUUCAGUCUCUUCACAAAGAUUACCAGUUGCCUUGUAGGUGUGGGACCACUAUACCCAUCUACUAAAAGUGCCUGAAAAUAUUUCCAGGCUCUGGCUGCUGAAGCAGGGAAUAGACUGUGUUCUUACUAUUAAAUUCCCACAUUCUCCAAAAUUAGGUGGCUGCAUGAAAAAGUGCCUGUUGGAAAUCAUCCCAGGAAUAUUUGAACUCCCAAGGUCAUUUGGGAAAUUUUUUGAAAGAGUGUUAGAUGGCAUGGUCCAAAAGUGUGCCAGGAAAUGCUUUGACAAUUUAGAGAAUGUCUAUAUUAGGAAAAGGCAAUAGGAACAUGCCUCUAGAAGAAAGUAUUUGAUGCUAAGGAUUGCAGCCACACUGACAUUCACAUGCUUUAUAUGUAUUUCAGAGCGUUUUACUGCUGUCUAACUCUAGUCUGCUCCUGUGUCCAUUAGCAAUCAAAGUGCAUUAGUUACCCUCUGAGACUGCAUCUCCGGGUUUAUUUUUGUCUGAAAGGAAUUCAUUUUGCACAUUCCAAACAUGAUGUGGGCCAAAGUGCAGGAAAUGGAAACUACUGGGAGAUUUGCUUCAAAAGUGCCUCCCGAUCUGAACUGAGAUGUUACCACACAUACACCUGCAGCUGUGUCCCUAAGUUUGAGAAUAUUCUCAAAUGCAGAUUGAUUUGCCUCUUCAUCCACUUCAACUGCACAUUAAAAAUAUUGUGUGAGGCUUUGGUAGGCAGAGUGGAAUUUGGAAUUGAAAUUUUAUUGCUAAAUUUGAGCAAAAGUCUCUACUGAUUUUUUG
rnacentral:lncRNA from 1 species